rnacentral:rRNA from 2 species
GUCUUUUUGAGUUAUUUUUAAAGUCUGACCUGCCCACUGAAUAUUUUUAAAUGGCCGCAGUAUUCUAACUGUGCAAAGGUAGCAUAAUCAUUAGUCUUUUAAUUGAAGGCUGGUAUGAACGGUUGGACGAAGUAUAAGCUGUUUCAUAUAAAAUUAUAUUAGAAUUUUAUAUUUUAGUUAAAAAGCUAAAAUAUUAUUAAAAGACGAGAAGACCCUAUAAAUCUUUAUAUUUAAUAUUAUUCAAAUUUUUUUGAUUAAUUUUAUUUUUAUAAUAUUAAAUAUUUUGUUGGGGUGAUAUUAAAAUUUAACAAACUUUUAAUUUUGAAUUAGAACAUUAAUUUAUGAAUAGUUGAUCCAUUAUUAAUGAUUAUAAGAUUAAGUUACUUUAGGGAUAACAGCGUAAUUUUUUUUGAGAGUUCAUAUCGACAAAAAAGUUUGCGACCUCGAUGUUGGAUUAAGAUAUAUAUUUAGGUGUAGCCGUUUAAAUAUUAAGUCUGUUCGACUUUUAAAUUCUUACAUGAUCUGAGUUCAAACCGGAG